rnacentral:rRNA from 1 species
AGAGUUUGAUCCUGGCUCAGGAUGAACGCUGGCGGCGUGCCUAAUACAUGCAAGUCGAACGCUUCACUUCGGUGAAGAGUGGCGAACGGGUGAGUAAUACAUAAGUAACCUGGCAUCUACAGGGGGAUAACUGAUGGAAACGUCAGCUAAGACCGCAUAGGUGUAGAGAUCGCAUGAACUCUAUAUGAAAAGUGCUACGGGACUGGUAGAUGAUGGACUUAUGGCGCAUUAGCUGGUUGGUAGGGUAACGGCCUACCAAGGCGACGAUGCGUAGCCGACCUGAGAGGGUGACCGGCCACACUGGGACUGAGACACGGCCCAGACUCCUACGGGAGGCAGCAGUAGGGAAUUUUCGGCAAUGGGGGAAACCCUGACCGAGCAACGCCGCGUGAAGGAAGAAGUAAUUCGUUAUGUAAACUUCUGUCAUAGAGGAAGAACGGUGGAUAUAGGGAAUGAUAUCCAAGUGACGGUACUCUAUAAGAAAGCCACGGCUAACUACGUGCCAGCAGCCGCGGUAAUACGUAGGUGGCGAGCGUUAUCCGGAAUUAUUGGGCGUAAAGAGGGAGCAGGCGGCACUAAGGGUCUGUGGUGAAAGAUCGAAGCUUAACUUCGGUAAGCCAUGGAAACCGUAGAGCUAGAGUGUGUGAGAGGAUCGUGGAAUUCCAUGUGUAGCGGUGAAAUGCGUAGAUAUAUGGAGGAACACCAGUGGCGAAGGCGACGAUCUGGCGCAUAACUGACGCUCAGUCCCGAAAGCGUGGGGAGCAAAUAGGAUUAGAUACCCUAGUAGUCCACGCCGUAAACGAUGAGUACUAAGUGUUGGGAGUCAAAUCUCAGUGCUGCAGUUAACGCAAUAAGUACUCCGCCUGAGUAGUACGUUCGCAAGAAUGAAACUCAAAGGAAUUGACAGAUCGGAAGAGCACACGUCUGAACUCCAGUCACGAGUGGAUAUCUCGUAUGCCGUCUUCUGCUUGAAAAAA